rnacentral:rRNA from 1 species
CAUCAGCUGCCGUCGGGCGGUAGAGGUACACUUUCACGCGCCGCAUGUCUGAAUCCUUUUUUUACGAGCACCUUUCGUUCUCCUUCGGCGGGGCAACCUGCCGUUGGAACCUAUCAAAACCUUUUUUUGCAUCUAGCAUUACCUGUUCUGAUACAAACAAUCGUUACAACUUUCAACAAUGGAUCUCUUGGCUCUGGCAUCGAUGAAGAACGCAGCGAAAUGCGAUAAGUAGUGUGAAUUGCAGAAUUCAGUGAAUCAUCGAAUCUUUGAACGCACAUUGCGCCCCUUGGUAUUCCAUGGGGCAUGCCUGUUCGAGCGUCAUCUACACCCUCAAGCUCUGCUUGGUGUUGGGCGUCUGUCCCGCCUCUGCGCGCGGACUCGCCCCAAAUGCAUUGGCAGCGGUCCUUGCCUCCUCUCGCGCAGCACAUUGCGCUUCUCGAGGUGCGCGGCCCGCGUCCACGAAGCAACAUGACCGGCUUU